CCUACGGGUGGCAGCAGUGAGGAAUAUUGGUCAAUGGCCGGAAGGCUGAACCAGCCAUGCCGCGUGAAGGUCAGUGCCCUAUGGGCGUUAAACUUCUUUUGUGCGGGAGCAAUAAUGGUCACGUGUGGCCAGACGAGAGUACCGUACGAAUAAGCAUCGGCUAACUCCGUUCCAGCAGCCGCGGUAAUACGGGGGAUGCAAGCGUUAUCCGGAUUUAUUGGGUUUAAAGGGUGCGUAGGCUGUGAGGUAAGUCAGCGGUGAAAUGCCCGCGCUCAACGGGGUGAAGUGCCAUUGAUACUGGCUGGCUGGAAUGCGGAUGCGGUGGGAGGAAUGUGUGGUGUAGCGGUGAAAUGCAUAGAUAUCACACAGAACACCGAUUGCGAAGGCAUCUCACGAAUCCGCGAUUGACGCUGAUGCUCGAAAGCGUGGGUAUCAAACAGGAUUAGAUACCCGAGUAGUC
rnacentral:rRNA from 1 species